rnacentral:rRNA from 1 species
GAUGAACGCUGGCGGCGUGCCUAAUACAUGCAAGUCGAACGCUUCACUUCGGUGAAGAGUGGCGAACGGGUGAGUAAUACAUAAGUAACCUGGCAUCUACAGGGGGAUAACUGAUGGAAACGUCAGCUAAGACCGCAUAGGUGUAGAGAUCGCAUGAACUCUAUAUGAAAAGUGCUACGGGACUGGUAGAUGAUGGACUUAUGGCGCAUUAGCUUGUUGGUAGGGUAACGGCCUACCAAGGCGACGAUGCGUAGCCGACCUGAGAGGGUGACCGGCCACACUGGGACUGAGACACGGCCCAGACUCCUACGGGAGGCAGCAGUAGGGAAUUUUCGGCAAUGGGGGAAACCCUGACCGAGCAAUGCCGCGUGAAGGAAGAAGUAAUUCGUUAUGUAAACUUCUGUCAUAGAGGAAGAACGGUGGAUAUAGGGAAUGAUAUCCAAGUG